ACUGCGUCAAACUUCUCUGUCUACCUCUUUGUUUCGGUUUGUUCGGGGAUCAGCCGAGUUAUAAGUCUCGAGAUAUUACGCUUUCGUAAGGCGUUUGCCUCUUAUUACCUGUUCAACCUUUAAAUUUAUUUUAGCCUAUUAUAAGGUUUCCAUAUCUGUUAAGGGUUUUCAGAGGCUUAAUUUCCAGCUCACCUAAAAAGCCGUAGAACUUCGCUUAACUUGUGCCAUAACUUAU